AACGGCCGUACCAUGCUGAAUAUACCGGUUCUCGUUAGAUCACCGAAGUUAAGCAUCAUUGGGCGCGGUCAGUACUUGGAUGGGUGACCACCUGGGAACACUGCGUGCCGUU
rnacentral:rRNA from 1 species